AAUAUAAUUUUUGUGUCUCAAUUUAGCAAGAAUUUUUCUUAUUAUAAUCCUUAGAUGGGGUAUUUUGUAGAAAAGAUAACUCAUUUAUAUUUUCUGUGCUAAAAAAAAACUGAAAUUUUGAUUUUAUAUAUUUUAAAUAUAAAAUAGGUCAAAAUCAAUAAUGCAAUGAAUUUUUUUUGAUAAUUAAUCCAUCAGAACAGUUGAGUAGUCCUUUGGGGAAAUGAAAGCUAUUCCCUCAUGGCUCCCCAGAUGGACAAUUCUCUUUCCUCUCUCAAGUUUCACUUGACAGAUGAGCUACUCAUAUGAAGAUUGAGAAACACUCUUAGGUCCCAUUUGGUGUUAUUAUUUGAAAUGUUAAUUUUAAAUUAAUUUGAUAUAUUUUUAAUCAUAAAAAUUUCAAAACAGCCAAAUAACCUUUUUAAAUUAUUUUUUCAACAUUUAUAAUAAUUUUUUUUAACAAAACAGAUUAAGACCACAAUGUUAGCACAGAAACUAGUUUUAAAAUUGAUCUAGAGCGCUAUCCCUUGCAUUUCAUACUUUAUUUUUAAUUUUUGGAUUCUUAUGAAUCUUGAAUUUUGUAAGAAUUUUUCAGUUUAUCAAAUUUAUGCAUUGCAAGUUGCCAUAAAGCCUUGCUCCGGUAAGCCUGUCACAAGCACAAUUAGCUGUAACAUUUGAAAUUUGAAGCUACUAAUUUUGCCAUUAGUUCAAGUCACCCACCUACAUGGUAUGAUUUAAUUCUUUAAUCUAUCAAAAGCUUAUCUCUAAUUAAUUAUACCACAAAACCUUAAAAACUAGCAGAAACAAAUAAAUUUGGUGAAUCAAAUUUCUAUGAUAGGAGUAAGGAGAUUCACAAACUUCACAUUUUUUACUUCACCUUCAAAUAAAUAGGGUAACUGCACCUACAGCUUUUCCACCAGAAAUGUAGUUUUCAAGAUAUAAAACUUUUACAUGCCUUCUAAAAAGAUGGAACAAGAAAAAUUUAAGAUCUUAACCAGUUCAACAAAAGAACACUGCAAGUUUUUCGCUAGCAUAACAUGAUUCCAUUGCAGACAGUGUGCUACUUUCAAACUGAUGGCAUCCCAGAAGCAAAUUCCUCAAAGAACCUUGAUUCAUAUCAUAAUUAAUUUUCCGACAAGGUAGCACAUAUAACAAUAUCAUCAGCUCUCUAAUCAAGUCAAGAACUCUUCCAACAUGUUCUGUGUGUGGUGUUGUCAGCUACUAUUACUACAGAAAAUGAGGAGCAAAAUAUCAGAGCAUCGAAGGAAGAUAUAGGUAAAAAACAUAAUAACAACAACACUAAUAAUAUAUAAUUAAAAAAGAAAAAGACACAUCAGAGCCUAACAAAUAUCUGAGUUUUGUACUUAGAGGUAGAGAUUUUCCAAAUAAUUGCAAGUGAAUUGAGUUCACUCACCCGGUCAAGAAGAUGGCAGUUGGGUUACCAGGAGAAGGAGGAUUCUGAUUCAGCAGUGAUGCAUUCGAACCAGCUUUGGCAAUAGCAUUAGGGUCAGCAACAGAUAGUACUUCCACCGCUUCAAGACCAAUUUGCCUCUUAAUCAAAUCCAAGUUCUCUUGAAGGACCUCAAUCUCUCCAAAUGGCAGCCUCAGAUCCAAGGCCUGAGGCCCAAUUGCAAUGGCCUCAUCCUU
rnacentral:misc_RNA from 1 species